UCUCACCAACCCCUCUCUCUCUCUAUAAAUAAUACUCCACCUCUUGCUCAUGCACCAUAAGCACUAAUAACGCCUCUCUCUCUCUCUCUCUCACCAUAGUGCAGUGACGAAGCCUCCAUACAACUCCUACGGCACUACAAUAGAAUUAAGUUAUAGGAACACAUAUUUGGGACACUUUUGAGUAAGUGUCCUAUUUAUGCUAAAACUUAAAAAAACAUCUACUAAUGCUUAAAUUUAAAGCCCAAUCCAACCAAAAAUAAAAAAUUACUUUACUCAACCCACCACAUCUAGUCCAUUUGGCCCGAUUACAAACAGAAAAGAAAAAAAAGAAAAAUCAAUUACCAUCUUUUUUUCUCUCUUCACUGAAUCCACUGAAAUUCUAGAUGAAGAGCCUUUUCUGUCGUCCUCCUCCGCCACCGCAGCCAACGAGAUAGAGUUUCGGCGGUUGCUAAAUGCUUAAAUAAGUAUUGGUAAAUUAGCAACACUCUUUUAGGUUAUAGCGACACUCUUUAACUGUCACUAUAUACCUAGCGACCCCACAUAUAGCAACACUUUUUAAAAGUGUCGGUAAUUUUAGCUAGCAGUACUUUUUUGACAUGUACCUAUAUUUAAAAGUGUCGCUAUAGACCGUUUUUGUUGUAGUGCGGCUUGGCAGUGCCGUU
rnacentral:lncRNA from 1 species